rnacentral:lncRNA from 1 species
GCAAUCCCCACAGGACUCUGUCAGGCAGGCUACCUUUGUCAUUCUGGAGCUAGUAGCCCCAAUGCUACGGGACACACGGUUCAGUCUCCUGGCACCGACCUUUGUCCCCCUGGUCACUACUGCCCAGCGGGCACAGCCUACCCCAUGCCGUGUCCACCAGGAUCCUACUCAAGCUCCCCAGGACUGAAGGAGGUGGAGCAAUGCCAGCCCUGCCCUUCUGGGCACUUCUGUGACCACCCAGCACUGGUCGACAUCUCGGAGGCUGCUCUUUGUGAUGCAGGAUAUGUGUGCCUGAGUGGAAGUUCAACCCCCCGCCCCUUAGACGGACUCCAGGGGUACUUGUGCCCCAUUGGGUUCCACUGCCCUGUCGCUACUGCUGUGGAAAUACCCUGCGAGCCUGGUACCUAUAGCUUGGCACCUGGUGCUGCCUAUUGUCUAUCUUGCCCAGCUGGCACUACAUGCACCUCCUCCGGAACACAGCUGCCCCUUCCAUGUCCUGCAGGGCACUAUUGCCCCACUGGGUCAUCCUCACCAUUGCCAUGCCCACCUGGGACCAUGAGCCAGCAAACUGGAGCCCAGGACAAUUCUACCUGUGUGCCCUGCCCCCG